GAUGAACGCUGGCGGCGUGCCUAAUACAUGCAAGUCGAGCGAAUGGAUUAAGAGCUUGCUCUUAUGAAGUUAGCGGCGGACGGGUGAGUAACACGUGGGUAACCUGCCCAUAAGACUGGGAUAACUCCGGGAAACCGGGGCUAAUACCGGAUAACAUUUUGAACCGCAUGGUUCGAAAUUGAAAGGCGGCUUCGGCUGUCACUUAUGGAUGGACCCGCGUCGCAUUAGCUAGUUGGUGAGGUAACGGCUCACCAAGGCAACGAUGCGUAGCCGAACUGAAGGGUUGAUCGGCCAAACUGGGACUGGGACACAGCCCAGACUCCUACGGGAGGCAGCAGUAGGGAAUCGUCCGCAAUGGACGAUAGUCUGACGGAGCAACGCCGCGUGAGUGAUGAAGGCUUUCGGGUCGUAAAAUUCUGUUGUUAGGGAAGAACAAGUGCUAGUUGAAUAAGCUGGCACCUUGACGGUACCUAACCAGAAAGCCACGGCUAACUACGUGCCAGCCGCCGCCGUAA
rnacentral:rRNA from 1 species